rnacentral:rRNA from 1 species
UACGGAGGGUGCAAGCGUUAAUCGGAAUUACUGGGCGUAAAGCGCACGCAGGUGGCUGAGUCAGUCGAUUGUGAAAGCCCUGGGCUUAACCUGGGAAUUGCAGUCGAUACUACUCAGCUAGAGUAUGGGAGAGGGUAGUGGAAUUCCCGGUGUAGCAGUGAAAUGCGUAGAUAUCAGAAAGAACACCAGUGGCGAAGGCGGCCCUCUGGUCCAUUAUUGACGCUAAAGCACGAAAGCGUGGGGAGCAAACAGG